rnacentral:lncRNA from 1 species
CUUACAAAAUCCAUAACAUGUUAGCAGGACUUAUCUAGCUGCCUCCACAGAAUAGCCAAGCAACUCUACACCCGCUUUAGCCCCCACAAAAACAAGCGGAUUGCACUACAAAUAAUUUGCCUAUUUGGAAAAUGAAAGCUUCUCUGUAGUUUGAGGUCCUAUUUUUUCUUUAAGUUGUUACAGUCUUUUCAUGGUCCUUGAGGUCUAGGUUAGGUUUUUGUUUGGGGUAAUUUUUGUAUCCUAUGGAUACUAUUUAAUCUUUAGUAUUGAGUCAGUAUUUCUCACUUAGGCCUUAGGGGAAUACUGCCUGAAGUAUGUAGGGGGCAUGCGGAAUUCAGACGUGGCUUGGAAACUGCACCAUGGGUUCACCCAAGAAACAGACCAGAGGCAACACAUUCUAUCACUAAAACGUGUUCUCAGUUACACUUCCCUUCCAAAGCAGGAUUAUUUGUGCCCAUGAGGGAAACACGAAGGAUUGUCAGUAUUCAUUUGCUAUCAGAACUGCCUUUGAACUUCAGGGAAGCCGCCAUCUUGUUUUAGUUCACUCCUCUAAAGCACAGUGUCUGCAACAUGAAACACUAGUAAGACACAGUUAUCCAGAAAGAGCCCUAGAGAUGGAUAAGGAACCUGUUGGAAUGCUCUGAUAUUAAGAAAAAAAAAAUUAAAUUCAAAACCAAAAACAAGUCACAAGAAAAUUUGGAAAACAGGCUUUUCCUAUCCGGAUGAACAGAGAUAAUUUGUGUCGAUGGAUGUUCUGUGAAGGCCUAUUGUGUCGAGCAGCGUAUUAAAACAUAAACAUGGCUCUUCCCCCAAGAAACUUACAUUUCAGUAAGGGAGCCUGGCCAAAAUGGAAAACUGCAAGGUUCAAAUCCUGGAGUGCAGAAGAAGCAUUAGGCAUUGACCCUGUGGCUUCCUAAUAGAUCCGCAAAGUGCUUUGUUCCUGGAAAUCAUCCGAUGAGUAGUUCAGUGCUAUUGUAUAUCUUGUUAGAGCAGCCGAAGUGCCACAAAAUGAACUAAAAUCUCCCUGCAGAGUUGCUGUAUCAUAUGCUGAGAACAUUCGGAACUUUCAACAAAUUCAUGUUACGAUCCUGGGUAGCCAUGGUUAAAUCUGUACAGGGGUUAAAUGAGAAAUAUGAGCCUGCUGUUAAGUGUCUUCUGAGAGUGACAAAGCUCUGGCCAUAAGGGAUGGGAGAGGAGGGAUUUCUUCUCAGCCUUCCAGCCCUUUCCAGCUGUAUCACAGACAGGAGACAUAAUGCAAAGGGGCUCAGACAUUGACUUCCUGGAUCUUUGCGGCCCCAGGCAUUGACCCCCUCUACCUGGCUUUUCCUACGCUGUAAAAUGAGGAUCCUCCUAUAUUAUGGAGUUUAUUGUGACAACUAAAUAGCUGAGAAGAAGGACAUCUCAUUUGUUUUAACUAUGCAGUUUCCUGUCUAUCUAUCUAUCUAUCCCAUCAAUCUAUCAAUCAAUCUAUCAAUCUGUCUAUCCCUAUCUAUCUAUCCAUCUAUCUAUCUAUAUCUGUCUAUAUCUAUCUAACAUUUAUCUAUCAUCUAUUCAUCUAUCAGCUAUCUUCUGUCUAUCAAUAUUUCAAUCAAUCUCUCUAUCCCUAUCAAUUAAUCUAUCUACCUACCUAUCAACUAUCCAUCUAUCUCUAUCAUCUAUCAUCUAUUCAUCUAUCAUUUAUCAUCUGUCAAUCCAUCUUCCUACUAUCUAUCAAAAGCAACACAUUUUCUUCCUGACUUUAAAAAUAUUUAAGUGGGCCGGGAGGAUGGCUCACGCCUGUAAUCCCAGCACUUUGGGAGGCCUAGGCGGGCGGAUCACGAGGUCAGGAGAUGGAGACCAUCCUGGCUAACAUGGUGAAACCCCGUCUCUACUAAAAAUACAAAAAAAAAAAAAAAUUAACCAGGCGUGGUGGAGGGCGCCUGUAGUCCCAGCUACUCGGGAGACUGAGGCAGGAGAAUGGGGAGAACCCGGGAGGCGGAGCUUGCAGUGAGCCGAGAUCAUGCCACUGCACUCCAGCCUGGGCGACAGAGCAAGACUCCAUCUCAAAAGAAACAAAAACAAAAACGUAAGUGAUACUCUGUCCACUCUUUUGAUUGAGGAGGUCUGAUUUUCAGGCUUUGGAUUUUAUUAUGUCUUCAAUAUAAUAAUUGUUCCAUGUAUCUCUCCUAAAUUGCCAUUUGAAAAACUGCUUUUCUGAAGUUUAAAGUGCACAUUUUGAUACAUCUUGACACAUAUAUACACCCAUGAAAUCAUCACCACAAUCAGGAUAGUAGAUCUAUCCAUUACCGCCAAGGUUUACUUGCACUCCUUUGAACUUUCUCCCCACUCCUCACCCCCUGCCUAUCCCCAAUCCUUAAGCAAUCACUGAUUUGCUUUCUGUCACUAUCAGUUAAUUUGAAUUUUUCAGAAAUGUAUAUAAAUAAAAUCAUUCGACGUGUAUGCUCUUUUUCUGUUCACCCGGUACAAUUUGAGAUUUAGCCAUGUUUUUGCAUGUGUCAAUAGUUUAUUUUUUUGUUGCUCAGUACUAAUCCAUUUUAUGGAUACAGAGAAAUGUAUUAAUGCAAUCCCAUAUUAAUAGGCAUUUGGGUUGUUUCCAGGUUUGGGCUGUUACAAAUAAAGCUGCUAUGAACAUUUUUGUGCAA